rnacentral:rRNA from 1 species
GUGGUUAAGUUACUAAGGGCACACGGUGGAUGCCUUGGCGCUAGGAGCCGAAGAAGGACGCAGCGAACUGCGAUAAGCCUCGGGGAGCGGUAAGCACGCUUUGAUCCGGGGAUCUCCGAAUGGGGCAACCCACCAUUCGUAAUGGAAUGGUAUCCUUCACUGAAUACAUAGGUGAUGAGAAGGCAGACCCGGUGAACUGAAACAUCUAAGUAGCCGGAGGAAGAGAAAACAAUAGUGAUUCCGUCAGUAGUGGCGAGCGAACGCGGAAGAGCCUAAACCGUCGGGUUUACCCGGCGGGGUUGUGGGACGUCUCACUAGGAGUUACAAAAGACUCUUGUAGAUGAACAGCUUGGGAAAGCUGACCAGAGAGCGUGACAGUCGCGUAAUCUAAACAAGAGUCUCUCCGAGACGGAUCCCGAGUAGCGCGGGACACGUGAAAUCCCGUGUGAAUCUGGCAGGACCAUCUGCUAAGGCUAAAUACUACCUAGCGACCGAUAGUGAACCAGUACCGUGAGGGAAAGGUGAAAAGCACCCCGGGAGGGGAGUGAAAUAGUACCUGAAACCGUGUGCUUACAAAUAGUCGGAGCCCUAUACCACCCACAAAAGUUUUACUUUUGCGGGGCCCGGGACGGGUGACGGCGUGCCUUUUGUAGAAUGAACCGGCGAGUUACGGUAGCGUGCGAGGUUAAGUUGAAGAGACGGAGCCGCAGCGAAAGCGAGUCUGAAUAGGGCGAAAGUACGCUGCCGUAGACCCGAAACCGUGUGAUCUAGCCAUGUCCAGGGUGAAGGUAGGGUAACACCUACUGGAGGCCCGAACCCACGCACGUUGAAAAGUGCGGGGAUGAGGUGUGGCUAGCGGUGAAAUUCCAAUCGAACUCGGAGAUAGCUGGUUCUCCCCGAAAUAGCUUUAGGGCUAGCCUCGGAAUGAGAGUCUUGGAGGUAGAGCACUGAUUGGGCUAGGGGCCCUCAUCGGGUUACCGAACUCAGUCAAACUCCGAAUGCCAAUGACUUAUGUCCGGGAGUCAGACGGUGAGUGCUAAGAUCCAUCGUCAAAAGGGAAACAGCCCAGACCAUCAGCUAAGGUCCCCAAGUAUACGUUAAGUGGGAAACGAUGUGGAGUUGCCCAGACAACCAGGAUGUUGGCUUAGAAGCAGCCACCAUUUAAAGAGUGCGUAAUAGCUCACUGGUCGAGUGACUCUGCGCGGAAAAUGUAACGGGGCUAAACGUAUCACCGAAGCUAUGGCAGUCCUUACGGACUGGGUAGGGGAGCGUUCCAAGCAGCAGUGAAGCCGUACUGGAAAGAGCGGUGGAGCGCUUGGAAGUGAGAAUGCCGGUGUAAGUAGCGAAAAGACAAGUGAGAAUCUUGUCCACCGAAAGCCUAAGGUUUCCUGGGGAAGGCUCGUCCUCCCAGGGUUAGUCGGGACCUAAGCUGAGGCCGAAAGGCGUAGGCGAUGGACAACAGGUUGAUAUUCCUGUACCACCUCUGUUCCGCUUGAGUGAGUGGCGUGACGCAGGAGGAUAGGGUGAGCGGCCUACUGGAUGGCCGUCCAAGCAGCAAGCCUGGUGUGUAGGCAAAUCCGCACACCAUAAGGGCAAGCUGUGAUGGCGAGGGAAAUUUAAGUACCGAAGUCCCUGAUUUCACACUGCCAAGAAAAGCGUCUAGCGAGGAACAAGGUGCCCGUACCGCAAACCGACACAGGUAGGCGAGGAGAGAAUCCUAAGGUGCGCGGGAUAACUCUUGCUAAGGAACUCGGCAAAAUGGCCCCGUAACUUCGGGAGAAGGGGCGCCUCGGUAGGGUUAAUAGCCCGAGGGGGCCGCAGUGAAAAGGCCCAAGCGACUGUUUAGCAAAAACACAGGUCUCUGCGAAGCCGCAAGGCGAAGUAUAGGGGCUGACGCCUGCCCGGUGCUGGAAGGUUAAGGGGAUGGGUUAGCGCAAGCGAAGCUUUGAACCGAAGCCCCAGUAAACGGCGGCCGUAACUAUAACGGUCCUAAGGUAGCGAAAUUCCUUGUCGGGUAAGUUCCGACCCGCACGAAAGGCGUAACGACUUGGGCGCUGUCUCGGCAAGAGACCCGGUGAAAUCAUAAUACCUGUGAAGAUGCAGGUUACCCGCGACAAGACGGAAAGACCCCAUGGAGCUUUACUGUAGCCUGGUAUUGGAACUUUGUGCAUCAUGUACAGGAUAGGUGGGAAGCUGAGAAGCAGGGGCGCCAGCCUCUGUGGAGCUGUCGGUGGGAUACCACCCUUGAUGUACGGAGUUUCUAACUCGUCGCCCUUAUCGGGCGAGAGGACCAUGCCAGGUGGGCAGUUUGACUGGGGCGGUCGCCUCCCAAAAGGUAACGGAGGCGCCCAAAGGUUCCCUCAGAAUGGUCGGAAAUCAUUCGUAGAGUGUAAAGGCAGAAGGGAGCUUGACUGCGAGACCUACAAGUCGAGCAGGGACGAAAGUCGGGCUUAGUGAUCCGGUGGUUCCGCAUGGAAGGGCCAUCGCUCAACGGAUAAAAGCUACCCUGGGGAUAACAGGCUUAUCUCCCCCAAGAGUCCACAUCGACGGGGAGGUUUGGCACCUCGAUGUCGGCUCAUCGCAUCCUGGGGCUGAAGUAGGUCCCAAGGGUUGGGCUGUUCGCCCAUUAAAGCGGUACGCGAGCUGGGUUCAGAACGUCGUGAGACAGUUCGGUCCCUAUCUGUCGCGGGCGUAGGAAGUUUGAGGAGAGCUGUCCUUAGUACGAGAGGACCGGGAUGGACGCACCGCUGGUGCACCAGUUGUCACGCCAGUGGCACAGCUGGGUAGCUAUGUGCGGACGGGAUAAGCGCUGAAAGCAUCUAAGCGUGAAGCCCCCUCCAAGAUGAGACUUCCCACAGCGCAAGCUGGUAAGACCCCUCAUAGACGAUGAGGUUGAUAGGUUCGGUGUGGAAGCGUGGUAACACGUGGAGCUGACGAAUACUAAUCGGUCGAGGACUUAUCCACA